GUUUCUGAUCACUUUGGAGACUGUAACAUUAGAAGAGGGAAAACUUUUGGGACUCUCAUGGAGAGCUGAAAUGUUCAUGAGUAUCAAGCAGAACAGGAGGUAAGUGCCUAAACUAAAUUGGCAAAAGACUAAAGUAAUCUUUCUUAAUGUUUUGCUUAAAAUGUUGCUGAUUCUUUGUUUUGUGUUUCAGAGUCAAGAAAACUUUUAAGCUAUUUAUAGCUUUUAGCAAUUGAGUAAAAUAUACUCCUAUGAACAAAAUUUGGAGCAUAUUUAUUUCUACCUAAUUUCUCCAGAAUUUGGAAACUGUUUGGGUAUUGUAUUCUUAACUUAGAACAAUACAAUUAUUUGCAUAAUUGCAAUAAGAAUUUGUUCUCAUUUGUAACAAGACACAAUUGGAGAAACUGGUUAUUUUACCAAGACUUUGGAAUGAUGUGUUUUCCUUUAAGGAAUCAAACUUGACUUAUGGAGCCAAUAAAAGCCCUGUGGGAAAACUGUCCUCAUACGUGUGUUUACACAGCCCCUGUACAGGGUUCCUGACCUGUGGUAAGUAAAGAAUGUCACUUUCUGACAGGCCCAGGAGUCCCAAGUUUAUCUUGGAACCUCAAGAGGAAAGGAUCACCCAACUCAUAGCUGUGCUUUUGUAAAGCCCUGCGAACUGAAGCUUGACAACUUAAACUUCAGAAGCAAUAACAGCAACCCAUUUACAAACGACAUGAGACUUUACAACCUGUUAAAAAUGAACUUUCCUAAUACCUUGGGAUCUACCUGUCUAGGAAUAAACUAUCCUAAUCAUGAAAGAUCAGAUGAAAUCUGAUACCAGACACUCAUUUUCUUCUAAAAUGCUUGUCCAAAAGAUUUUUGAAAAGAGAAGGGGGAAAAUGUGAAUGGAAAAGAAGUUGUGGGGCCCCCAAAUCGCUAAGCUAAAGGGAAAAGUCAAGUUUGGAACAGAAUAGGGCCAAUCUGCCUCCCAUUCUAUUAAAAGUCACCCUUCAGCUCACUGAGAUAAAUACACGUCUAAUUGCCUCCGUUGGAGAGGUUAAUCAGAAACUCAAAAGAAUGCAACCAUUUGUCUCUUAUCUACCUAUGACUUGGAAGCCCCCUCCCUGCUUUGCUUUGAGCUGUCCUGCCUUUAUAGACCGAACCCAGUGUUCUUCUUGCAUAUGUUGACUGAUGCCUCAUGUCUCCCUAGAAUGUAUAAAACCAAACUGUGCUCUGACCACCUUGGACACGUGUUGUUAGGACACAUAACCUCUUGAAUUCUGUCAAGGUCACAUGUCUUCAACCUUGGCAAAAUAAACUUUGUAAAUUAACUGAGACUUGUUUCA
rnacentral:lncRNA from 13 species